rnacentral:piRNA from 1 species
CGACCUUUUAGGAGAAUUUUUCAGUGUCAGC